rnacentral:rRNA from 1 species
CCUACGGGUGGCAGCAGUGAGGAAUAUUGGUCAAUGGACGAGAGUCUGAACCAGCCAAGUAGCGUGAAGGAUGACUGCCCUAUGGGUUGUAAACUUCUUUUAUAUGGGAAUAAAAUGUUCCACGUGUGGGAUUUUGUAUGUACCAUAUGAAGAAGGAUCGGCUAAAUCCGUGCCAGCAGCCGCGGUAAUACGGAGGAUCCGAGCGUUAUCCGGAUUUAUUGGGUUUAAAGGGAGCAUAGGUGGAUUGUUAAGUCAGUUGUGAAAGUUUGCGGCUCAACCGUAAAAUUGCAGUUGAAACUGGCAGUCUUGAGUACAGUAGAGGUGGGCGGAAUUCGUGGUGUAGCGGUGAAAUGCUUAGAUAUCACGAAGAACUCCGAUUGCGAAGGCAGUUCACUGGACUGCAACUGACACUGAGGCUCGAAAGUGUGGGUAUCAAACAGGAUUAGAUACCCUUGUAGUC